UGUUCUAAUGAUGAUACAACAUAUUAUUACAGUUAUCCCUGUCAGACAUGGUAACAAUUCCAUGGUGUAAGAAAAUUAUCUGAUAGAACA
rnacentral:snoRNA from 1 species